rnacentral:rRNA from 1 species
UACAGGGGGUGCAAACGUUGCUCGGAAUUAUUGGGCGUAAAGCGCGCGUAGGCGGCCUUUAAGUCGGAUGUGAAAGCCCUCGGCUCAACUGGGGAAGUGCACCCGAAACUGAAAGGCUUGAGUACUGAAGAGGGUCGCGGAAUUCCCAGUGUAGAGGUGAAAUUCGUAGAUAUUGGGAGGAACACCAGCGGCGAAGGCGGCGACCUGGUCAGAUACUGACGCUGAGGAGCGAAAGCGUGGGGAGCGAACAGG